GGGAGCUGAAGGCCUGCCUGCAACUGGCUCCUACCACGUUACUCUGAAACUGUGUGAUCCUGCACAUGAUCAUUCCAUUCGAAGUUUUUUGUCCAUUUUAGAUUAUUUAUUUGCAAAGAGUCAAGUUUAAAGGUACUUCAUCUGUGGAAGCUGUGGAGCACACGUUCUAUAAUGUUGUCACUGUGUCUGUCAGGUGUCCAGAAUCAUCACUGAUACAGGAGCAUAUUUAUGUUAUUUUCUCAUUUUGGAUAUUCCUGAACAUUGAAGACUUUGAAGGCAGUACAAAUUUGAGCCAUACAAUUUUGCAGGAAACAGUCUCAGAGUACAAAUUCUUUAGGAACUCAGGCAAAGAUAGGCCCUAUUGUGUCCAUGUGCUCUCAUUGUUCGUCUCCCACUUAUGAAUGAGAACAUGCAGUAUUUGGAUUUCAGAGUCUCUCUGUGGAGU
rnacentral:lncRNA from 13 species